rnacentral:tRNA from 1 species
AGGAAGGUAGCUCAGUGGUAGAGUACUUGCCUUGCAUGCAUGAGGCUCUGGGUUCUUUCUA